GGAAGUCCAGACGACUUCCAGACGACUUUACAGGAAGUCCAGACAACUUUACAGGACGUCCAGACGACUUUUAGGAAGUACAGACGACUUUAUCAGAAGACUUCCAAGAAGUCCAGACGACUUCCAGACGACUUCCAGACGACUAACAGGUAAGUCGUCCUAGAAGUCUUCCAGAUAUGAAAAACCUGAAUAUCAAAUCCAGAUCUGAAAAACCUGCAUAUCCAAAAACGUUCAAAUGACUUAAAAAUAGAGAAAAUGAGUGAAAGAUUAGAUAAAUCUACAUUUAUAGAACACACAAAAAUACAUAUCUAAAAUUAAUAGAUCUACCUUUAAAUUAGUGGAAGAUUAGUACCAUUUGAUUAAAAACGUGCAAAAGAGAUAGAUUAGUAAAAAAUACAUGAGACAAAACU